UACUAGACACCUUUUCAAAUAAUGAUGCCCCAGUAUACCAAACAGGAAGGACCGAAUGCGCUGUGCAGCUAUUUAAAGAAUGAACUAGACUUUAAAUCCAGGAAGCUACAGGGCCUUGCAUGAGGGCACAGUGAUGCAAAAAGUGACGAGUGAACUGGCUGUUUCCUGAACCAACAUUGAGAGUCAAGCAAGUGGAUGUGUUGACCGGCGGGACCAGAUGCCAUGUCCUCCUCUGGAGUCCAUGGGGAGUCAGCUCUCUGGAACCACGGGGUCUGAGGGUGUGGAAGAGCAGACUCAUCAGAGACACCCUGACAGCUGGUUACAAGGAGAGAACAGACUCUCCUUAGCCAAGGUCAGCUCCAGGCUAUAUUAAACAAGUCUCAAUGGG